rnacentral:rRNA from 1 species
ACCUCGGAUCAGGUAGGAAUACCCGCUGAACUUAAGCAUAUCAAUAAGCGGAGGAAAAGAAACCAACAGGGAUUGCCUCAGUAACGGCGAGUGAAGCGGCAACAGCUCAAAUUUGAAAUCUGGCCCCCAGGCCCGAGUUGUAAUUUGUAGAGGAUGCUUCUGGCGACGCGACUUCCGAGUUCCCUGGAACGGGACGCCAAAGAGGGUGAGAGCCCCGUCCGGUCGUUCGCCUAGCCUCUGUGAAGCUCCUUCGACGAGUCGAGUAGUUUGGGAAUGCUGCUCUAAAUGGGAGGUAUACGUCUUCUAAAGCUAAAUACCGGCCAGAGACCGAUAGCGCACAAGUAGAGUGAUCGAAAGAUGAAAAGCACUUUGAAAAGAGGGUUAAAUAGUACGUGAAAUUGCUGAAAGGGAAGCGCUUAUGACCAGACUUGGGCCAGGUGAAUCAUCCGGCGUUCUCGCCGGUGCACUUUGCCUGCCCAGGCCAGCAUCAGUUCGCUUCGGGGGAUAAAGGCUUCGGGAAUGUAGCUCCUCCGGGAGUGUUAUAGACCGUUGCGUAAUACCCUGGGGCGGACUGAGGUACGCGUUCUGCAAGGAUGCUGGCGUAAUGGUCAUCAGUGACCCGUCUUGAAACAACGGACCA